rnacentral:rRNA from 1 species
AAACAUGUCUUUUUGAGGUAUAUAUAAAGUCUAGCCUGCCCACUGAAUAGACUUAAAUGGCCGCAGUAUUUUGACUGUGCAAAGGUAGCAUAAUCAUUAGUCUUUUAAUUGAAGGCUGGAAUGAAUGGUUGGACGAAGUAUAAGCUGUUUCAUAUAAAUUUAUUAUAGAAUUUUAUAUUUUAGUUAAAAAGCUAAAAUUUUAUUAAAAGACGAGAAGACCCUAUAAAUCUUUUAUAUUUGGUGUUAUUUAAAUUUUUUAGAUUAUUUAGAUUUUUAUAAUAUUAAAUAUUUUGUUGGGGUGAUAUUAAAAUUUAAUAAACUUUUAAUUAUUAAAAAUCAUUAAUUUAUGAUUGAUUGAUCCAUUAGUAUUGAUUAUAAGAUUAAGUUACUUUAGGGAUAACAGCGUAAUUUUUUUUGAGAGUUCCUAUCGACAAAAAAGUUUGCGACCUCGAUGUUGGAUUAAGGUAUAAUUUUAGGUGUAGCUGCUUAAACAUUAAGUCUGUUCGACUUUUAAACCCUUACAUGAUC